AGGCGGUGAUGAUUUUAUUUUAUACCAUCAAACUUUGAGAGCUUUCAGAGAAAAGCUUGUUGAUGUAAACCCAUUACUAUUAUCUGAGCCU